AGGGCAUAUGUCUUGUAAUUGGAAUGAUGCCGACUUAAACCCUCGGCAGAGUACCAAUUGGAGGGCAAGUCUGGUGCCAGCAGCCGCGGUAAUUCCAGCUCCAAUAGCGUAUAUUAAACUUGUUGCAGUUAAAAAGCUCGUAGUUGAAUUUGAGCUUGCGCGAUUCCGUUAUUGGAGUAUUGCGCUUGCUUUUUUGUUACUUUGAGAAAAUUAGAGUGUUUCAAGCAGACUUUUGUCUUGAAUACUUCAGCAUGGAAUAAUAGAGUAGGACCUUGGUUCUAUUUUGUUGGUUUUUGAGCCUUGGUAAUGGUUAAUAGGAACGGUUGGGGGCAUUCGUAUUUA
rnacentral:rRNA from 1 species